AGCGCGGGGGCGAACCCUGGCGGCGAGCGGCGGACGGGUGAGUAAGGCAUCGGAAUCUGCCCUGAUGUGGGGGAUAACGUAGGGAAACUUACGCUAAUACCGCAUACGACCGAGAGGUGAAAGCGGGGGACCGAAAGGCCUCGCGCAGCAGGAUGAGCCGAUGUCCGAUUAGCUGGUUGGUGGGGUAAUGGCCUACCAAGGCGACGAUCGGUAGCUGGUCUGAGAGGAUGAUCAGCCACACUGGGACUGAGACACGGCCCAGACUCCUACGGGAGGCAGCAGUGGGGAAUAUUGGACAACGGGGGCAACCCUGAUCCAGCAAUGCCGCGUGUGUGAAGAAGGCCUUCGGGUUGUAAAGCACUUUUAUCGGGAGCGAAACGCGCCGGGUUAAUACCUUGGCGAACUGACGGUACCCGAGGAAUAAGCACCGGCUAACUCCGUGCCAGCAGCCGCGGUAAUACGGAGGGUGCAAGCG
rnacentral:rRNA from 1 species